CCUACGGGUGGCAGCAGUGGGGAAUAUUGCACAAUGGGCGCUAGCCUGAUGCAGCCAUGCCGCGUGUGUGAAGAAGGCCUUCGGGUUGUAAAGCACUUUCAGCGGGGAGGAAGGCGGUGAGGUUAAUAACCUCAUCGAUUGACGUUACCCGCAGAAGAAGCACCGGCUAACUCCGUGCCAGCAGCCGCGGUAAUACGGAGGGUGCAAGCGUUAAUCGGAAUUACUGGGCGUAAAGCGCACGCAGGCGGUCUGUCAAGUCGGAUGUGAAAUCCCCGGGCUCAACCUGGGAACUGCAUUCGAAACUGGCAGGCUAGAGUCUUGUAGAGGGGGGUAGAAUUCCAGGUGUAGCGGUGAAAUGCGUAGAGAUCUGGAGGAAUACCGGUGGCGAAGGCGGCCCCCUGGACAAAGACUGACGCUCAGGUGCGAAAGCGUGGGGAGCAAACAGGAUUAGAUACCCUUGUAGUC
rnacentral:rRNA from 1 species